UGUAAAUUAUAGGGAAAUGUAGAAUCCAUAGCAUAAAUUAGAUAAGAGAAAACAGAGCUAUAUUUUUAUUUAUUAUUUUUCAUUUAUUUUAAUUCAUGUAAUCGUUCAUUUGUAUUCACGCCACUACGUUGCUAUAACAUAAAAGACCGCUAGGUGGCGCAUCGCUUUGUGGUUGAAUGGGAGCGAACACAGGAAGAAUAAAUCCUGUUCCAGUGACACAAACACCAGCAAAAUGUCCUUUAUUCUUUCCACAGACAAGAAAAUAAUUCUCUGCACCCUGGCUAUCCUGCGAGGGAGGCGACAUUUGCUUGGGUUUUCUCCUGGACCUCUGGUUUCAUCCCACAGUCCAAAAUCAUGCAGAUUAAGUAAAACCAUUCAGACAACGGAGUUCUUUCACUGGGAGUUGGAGUUGGACUCGGUUCCAGGAGGCGAUGAGGUCUAAUGGUCUAAUGAAUCUGGAUUUUUCUGAAAGCCCUGUUUAAUUGGUGUUCAGUAAGGAGUCUGAGCAUCUCUCUGUGCUGUGGAAUUUUUAAGUGUGAACUGCCAGAACCCACACAGUGAUCACACUCACGUCAGAUCAAUUCACAGGCCAAAGGCAGAAUCGAACUGACAAACUCCAUCUACGCAUUGACAAAUACAUGGGAAUCCCUAUAAAACAGUUGACCUUUUUCUGUUUCCUGAGUUCACAAACCCAAUAAAUGACCGUACUGGAGCUUGAUUACAGAUAAACUGUAUGGCCUUUUGCGUUUUGUACAGAGUAACAGACCACAAUCUUUCCUCCCUUGCACCAAAUACACCCGUUACAUUGGAUUAUCUCUUUUUAA